rnacentral:lncRNA from 10 species
AAAAAAAUGCUACAAUAAAUGUUUUUGUUUAUGUGUCUUCAUAAAAAUUUCCAAGGUGAAUUUUUAAAAAUUUUUUAAGUUUUUUGUUUUUUGAGACAGAGUCGCACUCUGUUGCCCAGGUUGGAGUGCAGUGUUGUGAUCUCAGCUCAUUGUAGCCUCCGCCUCCCGGGUUGAAGUGAUUCUCCUGCCUCAGCCUCCGCAUUAGCUGGGAUUACAGGCGUGCACCACCACACUUGGCUAAUUUUUGUAUUUUUAAUAGAGACAGGGUUUCACCAUGUUGGCCAGGCUGGUCUCGAACUCCUGGCCUCAAGAGAUCCGCCUGCCUCAGCCUCCCAAAGUGCUGGGAUUACAGGCGUGAGCCACCUCACCCACCCCCAAGAUGAAUUUUGAAACCAUAGGCUGCUGGUUGUCCCACCAAAUCCAUUCUCUUUUCUUUCCUUUUCCUUUUUCCUUUUUCCUUUCCUUUCCUUUCUUUUUUUCCAGACAGAGUCUCACUCUGUCACCCAGACUGGAGUGCAAUGGCACGAUCUCAGCUCACUGCAACCUCCGCCUCCCAGGUUCAAGCGAUUCUCGUGCCUCAGCCUCCUGAGUAGCUGGGAUUACAGGUGCGCUACCACACCUGGCUAAUUUUGUGUGUGUGUGUGUUUUUAUUAUAGUAGAGACAGAGGUUCACCAUGUUGGCCAGGCUGGUCUCAAACUCUGGCCUCAAGUGAUUCCCCCCACCUCAGCCUCCCAAAGUGCUGGGAUUACAGGCAUCAGCCACUGCAACUGGCCCAUUCUCUUCUUUUUCUAGAGCAGGAGUUGGCAAAUGUUUUCUGUAAAUGGCCAAACAGUAAAUGUUAGACUUUGCAGGCCAUAAGGCCUCUGCCACAACUACUCAACUCUGCCUUUGUAGCCGAAAACAGCAGCCACAGACAAUAUGUAAAUGAAUAGGUGUGGCUGAGCUCCAAUAAAACUUUGCAAAACCUGGGUCUCCUUUCUUGUCUUUGGAGCCCUCCUCCCUCUGGAGAGCUUUUUCCUUCUUUCUUCUCUCUUCUUUCUUGCCUUUUAAACACUCUGCUCCUUAAAACCACUCCAACUGUGUCUGUGUUGUUUUAUCCAAUUCGCGCAAGACGAGCCCUGGUGCUCCUCCACUCAUCGGAGCCGUAUCAGUGCCAUCUUCAAAGCAGAGACCAAGUCCUCACCAGACAACAUAAUCUGCUCAGCCCUGAUCUUGGACUUACAGCCUCCGCAACAGACUCUGCUCCAACUAUGAACUUAGGAAGUUAAGGAAAAACAUGGAUUUCUUUUUCCAACUAGAAGCUGGACAUCCUAAGUGAUUGGUUGGAGGAGUAUGUUUGGUUUUCUCUGUCUGGUUCCAUGUUGAAAGUAAGAACAACAACAACAUGGGGGAAGCCUGCAAGUUUUGACCACGUCCUGAUCUCUCCAUGCUGAUUGCCGCCGAGCUGGGGGUCAGGGUUCUGUUAUCAUCUGUGCCCUGUUCAUUGUCUGCUUGAAUAUUCUGUCUGUCUAUCUAUAGAGAGGAAGAACAAUAACCUUCAUUAUCAGAAACCUCAUUCUAAGUUUACUUUUCUGUCUAGGUGUCCUUGUACUUUUUAAAUAUAUAAAUAUGCUUUUUCACUGAGUAGCAAUAGAAGUAGUAUUUUUGCUAGGCUUGAGUUGCUUACUAUUAAAAAAAAUUAUACUUACAUAUUUAUAAUAAAACCUAAUCUUAGGCUCAGAUGCACAUAC